CCCUUAGAUGUUCUGGGCCGCACGCGCGCUACACUGUUCGACGCAGCGAGUCUUAACCUUGACCGAAAGGUUUGGGUAAUCUUCAGCAAAGUCGAACGUGAUGGGGAUCGAUCAUUGCAAUUAUUGAUCGUGAACGAGGAAUUGCUAGUAAGUGCAAGUCAUCAGCUUGCGCUGAUUACGUCCCUGCCCUUUGUACACACCGCCCGUCGCUACUACCGAUUGAAUGGUUUAGUGAGAUCUCUGGAUUGACGCUGGCUAGGGGGCGACCCUUGGCCAGACUGUUGAGAAACUGCUCAAACUUGAUCAUUUAGAGGAAGUAAAAGUCGUAACA
rnacentral:rRNA from 1 species